rnacentral:rRNA from 1 species
GACGAACGCUGGCGGCGUGCUUAACACAUGCAAGUCGAACGGAUCACAUUGCUUCGGUUUUGUGGUGAGUGGCGAACGGGUGAGUAACACGUGAGUAACCUGCCCCCUUCUUUGGGAUAACGUCGGGAAAUCGGCGCUAAUACUGGAUAUUCUGGUUUCCUCGCAUGGGGUUUCUGGGAAAGGUUUUCUGGUGGGGGAUGGGCUCGCGGCCUAUCAGCUUGUUGGUGGGGUGAUGGCCUACCAAGGCGGUGACGGGUAGCCGGCCUGAGAGGGUGUCCGGCCACACUGGGACUGAGACACGGCCCAGACUCCUACGGGAGGCAGCAGUGGGGAAUAUUGCACAAUGGGCGCAAGCCUGAUGCAGCGACGCCGCGUGAGGGAUGACGGCCUUCGGGUUGUAAACUGCUUUUGUACGGAACGAAACGGCGAGCUCUAAUACAGUUUGCUAAUGACGGUACCGUAAGAAUAAGCACCGGCUAACUACGUG